CCUACGGGUGGCAGCAGUGGGGAAUAUUGCACAAUGGGGGAAACCCUGAUGCAGCGACGCCGCGUGAAGGAAGAAGUAUUUCGGUAUGUAAACCUCUAUCAGCAGGGAAGAAAAUGACGGUACCUGACUAAGAAGCCCCGGCUAACUACGUGCCAGCAGCCGCGGUAAUACGUAGGGGGCAAGCGUUAUCCGGAUUUACUGGGUGUAAAGGGAGCGUAGGCGGUUUAGCAAGUCAGAAGUGAAAGCCCGGGGCUCAACUCCGGGACUCCUUUUGAAACUGUUGAACUGGAGUGCAGGAGAGGUAAGUGGAAUGCCUAGUGUAGCGGUGAAAUGCGUAGAUAUUAGGAGGAACACCAGUGGCGAAGGCGGCUUACUGGACUGUAAAUGACGCUGAGGCUCGAAAGCGUGGGGAGCAAACAGGAUUAGAUACCCUUGUAGUC
rnacentral:rRNA from 1 species